GACGAACGCUGGCGGCGUGCCUAAUACAUGCAAGUAGAACGCACAGUUUAUACCGUAGCUUGCUACACCAUAGACUGUGAGUUGCGAACGGGUGAGUAACGCGUAGGUAACCUGCCUGGUAGCGGGGGAUAACUAUUGGAAACGAUAGCUAAUACCGCAUAAUAUUGAUUAUUGCAUGAUAAUUGAUUGAAAGAUGCUAUUGCAUCACUACCAGAUGGACCUGCGUUGUAUUAGCUAGUAGGUGAGGUAACGGCUCACCUAGGCGACGAUACAUAGCCGACCUGAGAGGGUGAUCGGCCACACUGGGACUGAGACACGGCCCAGACUCCUACGGGAGGCAGCAGUAGGGAAUCUUCGGCAAUGGACGAAAGUCUGACCGAGCAACGCCGCGUGAGUGAAGAAGGUUUUCGGAUCGUAAAGCUCUGUUGUAAGAGAUGAACGGGUGUGAGAGUGGAAAGUUCACACUGUGACGGUAGCUUACCAGAAAGGGACGGCUAACUACGUG
rnacentral:rRNA from 1 species